GAUGAACGCUGGCGGCGUGCCUAAUACAUGCAAGUCGAGCGAACAGACGAGGAGCUUGCUCCUCUGACGUUAGCGGCGGACGGGUGAGUAACACGUGGAUAACCUACCUAUAAGACUGGGAUAACUUCGGGAAACCGGAGCUAAUACCGGAUAAUAUAUUGAACCGCAUGGUUCAAUAGUGAAAGACGGUUUUGCUGUCACUUAUAGAUGGAUCCGCGCCGCAUUCGCUAGUUGGUAAGGUAACGGCUUACCAAGGCAACGAUGCGUAGACGACCGGAGAGAGUGAACGGCUACACUGGAAGAGAGGCACAGCCCAGACUCCGACAGUGGGCAGCGGUAGGGACUCUUCCGCGAGGGAGGAGAGCUUGACAGAGCAACGCCGCGUGAGGGAUGAUGGUCUUCGGAUGGUAGAACGCUGAUAGUAGUGAAGAUCAAAUGUGUAAGUAACUAUGCUCAUCUUGACAGUACCUAAUCAGAAAGCCACGGCUAACUACGUG
rnacentral:rRNA from 1 species